rnacentral:piRNA from 1 species
UCCUCAGAACACCCUGCCAAAUCAUUCCACA